rnacentral:rRNA from 1 species
UGAGUAACACGUAUCCAACCUGCCGUCUACUCUUGGACAGCCUUCUGAAAGGAAGAUUAAUACAAGAUGGCAUCAUGAGUUCAUAUGUUCACAUGAUUAAAGGUAUUCCGGUAGACGAUGGGGAUGCGUUCCAUUAGAUAGUAGGCGGGGUAACGGCCCACCUAGUCUUCGAUGGAUAGGGGUUCUGAGAGGAAGGUCCCCCACAUUGGAACUGAGACACGGUCCAA